rnacentral:rRNA from 1 species
AACGAACGCUGGCGGCAUGCCUAACACAUGCAAGUCGAACGAGACCUUCGGGUCUAGUGGCGCACGGCUGCGUAACGCGUGGGAACCUACCCUUAGGUUCGGAAUAACUCCCCGAAAGGGGUGCUAAUACCGGAUAAUGUCUUCGGACCAAAGAUUUAUCGCCUUUGGAUGGGCCCGCGUUGGAUUAGCUGGUUGGUAGGGUAAAAGCCUACCAAGGAGACGAUGCAUAGCUGGUCUGAGAGGAUGAUCAGCCACACUAGGACUGAGACACGGCCCAGACUCCUACGGGAGGCAGCAGUGGGGAAUAUUGGACAAUGGGCGAAAGCCUGAUCCAGCAAUGCCGCGUGAGUGAUGAAGGCCUUAGGGUUGUAAAGCUCUUUUACCCGGGAUGAUAAUGACAGUACCGGGAGAAUAAGCUCCGGCUAACUCCGUG